rnacentral:rRNA from 1 species
UGCCAUCAGCCGCGGUAAUACGGAGGGGGUUAGCGUUGUUCGGAAUUACUGGGCGUAAAGCGCGUGUAGGCGGUUCGUUAAGUCUGAUGUGAAAGCCCGGGGCUCAACCCUGGAAGUGCAUUGGAAACUGGCGAACUUGAGUACGGGAGAGGAAAGUGGAAUUCCAAGUGUAGAGGUGAAAUUCGUAGAUAUUCGGAGGAACACCAGUGGCGAAGGCGGCUAACUGGCUCGGUACUGACGCUGAGAUGCGAAAGCGUGGGGAGCAAACGGGAUUAGAUA